GUGUAUUUAUUGUGAGCUGCCACUUAUUACAAUAAGAAUUUAGUUUAUUUAUAGAGUUCUGUAAACCUUCAGGAGUUUCAGAUAAUAACAAAAUGUCAUCUGCAAACAUAAGGCAGUUCAUUGACAUAUUUUGCAGAGUCACUGGUUUACAACUUUCAUCAAUAUUUUCUGGUAGAUCAUUUAUGUAAACAUUAAAUAAGUUUGGACUCAUAUUAUCCCCUUGUUUCACUCCUCUAUCAAUAGAGACAUAUUCAGAUAUAUUCUCCUUUGAUUUCACUGAAGCUUCAGUAUUCUUAUACAUAUUUUUUAUCAAAUUGUAAAAUUUUACACCAAUAUUCUCAUUUUUUGUUAUUUUGUACAAAAGACCUAACCUCCACACUGAAUCGAAUGCCUUUUUUAGGUCUACAAAACAACCAUAAAUCUUUUUCUUUUUAUAAUUUAUAUAUUUAUUAAACAGA
rnacentral:lncRNA from 1 species